rnacentral:rRNA from 1 species
GACGUAGGGGGCCAGCGUUGCUCGGAAUUACUGGGUGUAAAGGGUGCGUAGGUGGGCAGGUAAGUCAGUGGUGAAAUCUCCGAGCUUAACUCGGAAACUGCCGUUGAUACUAUUUGUCUUGAAUAUUGUGGAGGUAAGCGGAAUAUGUCAUGUAGCGGUGAAAUGCUUAGAUAUGACAUAGAACACCAAUUGCGAAGGCAGCUUACUACACAACGAUUGACGCUGAGGCACGAAAGCGUGGGGAUCAAACAGG